rnacentral:siRNA from 1 species
UGGGACUUAUUUACAGUAGCUGCC